rnacentral:other from 1 species
AUGAAACGGAACAUUAGGAUGAUGGCUGUUUCAUAAAGUAGGGGAUAGGCUCAGGAAGAGUCAGGACGGCAUCGGAGCAUGCCAGGAAGUUUCAGGACGAAACAAGGGACACCUCCAGGACGGAGAUUGAGAGCUCGUAAAGGACGACGGGUGGGUCAGGAAGACUAAAGGAAAUAUGUCGGGAAGACAUCAGGAAGAAGCGUCAGGAUGAAAGUAGGACGAUGCAACGGAUGGCAGGUUAGGAUAACCGCAGGAAAAGUUUUCAGGGAUUGAGCAGGGAGCACUUAGGUAGCUGGAUUGCUAUAAAACGAACGGGGGGCACUGUGCAAACAGUGCCCCCAACUUUA